AGUUUACGUAGUAGAAAUAUAAUACAUGGGACUUAGGUUCCCAAGGUGAGAAAUACUCCGUUAACUU
rnacentral:tRNA from 1 species